AGCAGCCGCGGUAAUUCCAGCUCCAAUAGCGUAUAUUAAAGUUGUUGCAGUUAAAAGCUCAUAGUUGAAUUUCGGGAUCAAUUUGCUGGUCGUGCCUCUGGUACGUACUGGUAUUAUUGGUUUCUCCCUUCUGACGAACCAUGAUGUCAUUAAUUUGAUGUCGUGGAGAAUCAGGACUGUUACUUUGAAAAAUUGAGUGUUUAAAGCAGGCAUUAGCUUGAAUACAUUAGCAUGGAAUAAUGAAAUAGGACGUUUGAUUCCUAUUUUGUUGGUUUCUAGGAUUGACGUAA
rnacentral:misc_RNA from 1 species